rnacentral:lncRNA from 1 species
AUUUAACUGGGAGCGUUCAGUGAAAGCUGCAUGUACCUGUCCCCAGUUUGUUCCUACACUAGACACAAAGACAGUUAAUCCCAGGAAAAGAUUUCUAACACACCAUUAGCCUUUGACACUAGCACCAGGUAUAAAUGCUUCAAUAAAAACAUUGACCAAGCCACACAAUUAAACAGAGAAACAUCAAAAGAAAUGGUGAUUCUUUUUCCUUAUUUUAUUGGGUAAAUGAUUUAAAAGGUAAUAACAAUAGUGUUAAAACUACUACAAUAUCUUUCCACAGCCAUAUCUCACAGACCCACAGAUAACCUUCUAGCAUUUUUUUUUCUUUUUCCUCAUUUUUCUCUUUUUAAGCCGUACUUAUAUUAAAAUGCCCAUUUCAACAGUUUCUUCACACUAAUAGCAAUUAAAUGUGGAAGGAAGAAGGAUCUAGUUGUAAAGGAAGGGGGUUCAGGUAAUCUGUGAUAUUAUUGUAAUCAAUUGAGUUGCUAAGGAAGGAAGGAAAAGACCGAGGCCUUACAAGCUACUCCAGGUAGCUCUAAGCCCACUGUGUAUCACCAUGGCAUUGAAGAUAACUCAAGAUGCUGGUGAACAAUUUAAAGUAAGUUUGUUUUUUUUUUUUUGUAACAUAUAAAACACUAAAAUAACUUAGAAACUAGAUCCAAAUAUCUUGAAAAGAAUCAACUUUGAUAUACAAAAACAGUCAUAAGUUGUUACAAAAGUUUCAAACAAAAGUUUGUUUUCUCAGUGCGUUUAUGUACCAGCGCAAUUACUGGGUCCAGAGCAAAGAAAGAGGUUUUUCUUUUUUAUUUUUUUCUUCAACAGUAAUAAAAAAUGAGGAAAACAUAUCUUUGUAUAUAAAGAAUCAUUGCUGGUCUUAAGAAUAAAUGUAACCAGAAACCCUUAAAUCUGAGAGGCACACUUUGGGUUUCUCUUUUUUUUUUUUUUAAUUUUUUUUUUUUUUUAACAUAAAAGGAAAGUCACCAGUUUAUUUAAAUGGAGGAGAUACUCAGACUCCCCAAAUAA